rnacentral:rRNA from 1 species
GACGAACGCUGGCGGCGUGCUUAACACAUGCAAGUCGAACGGAAAGGCCCUGCUUUUGUGGGGUGCUCGAGUGGCGAACGGGUGAGUAACACGUGAGUAACCUGCCCUUGACUUUGGGAUAACUUCAGGAAACUGGGGCUAAUACCGGAUAGGAGCUCCUGCUGCAUGGUGGGGGUUGGAAAGUUUCGGUGGUUGGGGAUGGACUCGCGGCUUAUCAGCUUGUUGGUGGGGUAGUGGCUUACCAAGGCUUUGACGGGUAGCCGGCCUGAGAGGGUGACCGGCCACAUUGGGACUGAGAUACGGCCCAGACUCCUACGGGAGGCAGCAGUGGGGAAUAUUGCACAAUGGGCGGAAGCCUGAUGCAGCAACGUCGCGUGCGGGAUGACGGCCUUCGGGUUGUAAACCGCUUUCGCCUGUGACGAAGCGUGAGUGACGGUAAUGGGUAAAGAAGCACCGGCUAACUACGUG